rnacentral:rRNA from 1 species
GACGAACGCUGGCGGCGUGCUUAACACAUGCAAGUCGAGCGGGAAACUUCGGUUUCCAGCGGCGGACGGGUGAGUAACACGUGGGCAACCUGCCUCACAAUGAGGGAUAGCCUUCCGAAAGGAAGAUUAAUACCUCAUAAUACAAGAGAAACGCAUGUUUCUCUUGCCAAAGAAUUUCGUUGUGAGAUGGGCCCGCGGCGCAUUAGCUUGUUGGUGAGGUAACGGCUCACCAAGGCUGCGAUGCGUAGCCGACCUGAGAGGGUGAUCGGCCACAUUGGAACUGAGACACGGUCCAGACUCCCACGGGAGGCAGCAGUGGGGAAUAUUGCACAAUGGAGGAAACUCUGAUGCAGCAACGCCGCGUGAGUGAUGAAGGUCUUCGGAUUGUAAAGCUCUGUCUUCUGGGACGAUAAUGACGGUACCAGAGGAGGAAGCCACGGCUAACUACGUGCCAGCAGCCGCGGUAA